rnacentral:lncRNA from 1 species
GAGUGGCUAAAAUUGUUAAAUUCUUCGGGGGGGGGGGAUGUGGGAUAGAGGGCGAACUUCCUGGGUUUGGAUUAGACAAUGGCUUGAUGAAUAGAAUCCCAAAAGUCCGGGCAACACAGGAAACACUAGAAGGUGGACCUGAUCGCUAUUUAAAUGGAUGGAUCAGGAACUCUAGCAGGAGCGUGACGAGGCAGUCCACACGAUGGGGAAGCUGGAGCUCGGCAAUUGAGAGGCAGCGUUGGCAGAGUAAGCAUCUUCUUGCUUGCGGUGGUCCAGAUGGGUGUCCAGAAGCCAAGAAGCAAGCAUCCCUACACAGGAGAGAGAGAUUAAUCACGCCUGGAGUCUGUUCCUUCCGGGAAGUGGGGUGAGAAGCAUCUCUAUAAGGCUGGAGUUUGUGGUGAGACGCGGGGCUGUGUAAGAGAGGACACUCCCUGUGGGGCAUACUGUAGCAGAGCCAGAUGUGGUUGUCCCCUGUGCAUCUGGAUGCUGAGACCAGAUCCCUCUUCUGCUGGGCCCCUCUGUCCUUUGUCCAUCUGAUCAGACUGAUCACCUGCAGUGGCAGACACCUGCUGGCCGGAGCUGUUUUUUCAGCACCAAAGUGGCCUCCAUUUUACCUGGGUAUCCAAGGCACGACAGGACCUGAGAUCAACCUGGCCCAUUUGGCUAUCCAUAGAGGUUCCCCAGGACCCCAAUGGACAGGAGCCAGGAUGCUGGGGGACCACGAGUGCUCACAGGCAGGCGGGAUCUGCUGGAAUUAGGAGCCUGGGUGUGGCUGAGGCUUCCAUGUGCAUGCCUGGAACAGAGAGAGGCUGCAGCAGGGGCAAGAACAACAGGAAUUGGAGCCGGGGAGGGGGGGUGAGUCAUAGCCCCUAGGGGGACUGUUCUUGUGUUGGUUGUAUUCAGAGGAUACUGGAAGUCUUCUCAGGACCCUCUCCUUCGGUAUUACCCUGCUUGUGACAUUCUAAGCCUUCCCUCUUCUCCCUUAGCUCCAUGAUUGAUAGAGAUAAGGGAUGGGGGGCAGAAAGUCCCAACCAGCACCCCAGAUCUCCACCGGAAGCCGUAGAACACUACAGCUACUAGUGAUGGUUUGUAUAUGCUCGGCCCAGGGAGAGGCACUAUUUGGAAGUGUGGCCCUGUUGGAGUAGGUGUGUCACUGUGGGUGUGAGCUUUAAGACCCUCAUCCUACCUGCAUGAAAGCCAGUAUUCUGCUAGCAGCCUUCAGAUGAAGAUGUAGAAUUGUCAGUUCCUCCUGCACCAUGCCUGCCUGGAUGCUGCCAUGUCCCUGCCUCGAUGAUAAUGGACUGAACCUCUGGACCUGUAAGCCAGCCUUGAUCAAGGUGUCUGUUCACAGCAGUAAAACCCUAACUAAGACACUACUGCUCACAGAAGCCCAGGGUACCACUGGCUGGCCCUCAGCAAAUGGGACAGGAAGGAAUGUGCCUACAAACCUCACACCCAUCCAACCACCCACUUCUGCUCAGUGACAUGUUCCUGCAGUUAUGGCUGGUCCAUGCAAGGAUGCUCCUUUAGAGAGAUGGCAUCCAUGUGGCCUCUCUGAAUCACUGUGGGAAAGGGUUGUGUUUGCAGGUAACGGGGGCGGGACUCCUCCUUCUGUGUUUCGGCCCCGUGUUCCUUAGACUCUCAUCUCCAGAAAAGACCCAAGAACUAUUUUUCAGCUUACUGGAAAAAGAAUGUGUUUUGGUUUAUGGUUUCCAAACUUCCAGGCCAUGUGAAGCUGCUUCUGUGUGUCUGGGUCGUGGUGGGGCAGAGCAUCAUGGUGGACGGACAUGGUGGAGAGGGGCAAGUGGAAGAGAGGGGGAGGAAGAGAAAGAGUAGUAGUAGGGGCCAGCGAGAUGGCUCAGUAGGAAAAGGAGCUUGCCACCAGUCCUGAAUAUCUGAGUUCAAUCCCUGGGACCCAUGUAGUGGAAGGACUCCCUGGCUCCUAAAAGAUAUCAUUUUCAAUUCAACCCAUAACAAGCUCCAUGCAUGUGUGGACCUCCUCAGAUAGGAAGGCUCGCACUGCAGCCCUGGCAGGGUCUGUUUUGUCAGAAUCACGGCAGCCUGUUUCCUGUACGUUCUCAGAUAUUUCAGUGACGAUUUCAGUGACUUUAAUUGGAAAAAUACAUACUUUAGAGAAAGAGUUUUUUUUUAUUUGUGUGUGUGUAUGUGUGUGUGUGUGUGUGAGAGAGAGAGAGAGAGAGAGAGAGAGAGAGAGAGAGAGAGAGAGAGAGAGAGAGCAAUUUUGUGUAUGAGCACGGGGGCAUAAAUAUCCUGGCCCAUGUGACGGUCAGAGGGCAGCCUCGGGUAUCUGAACUUGCCCUUCACCUUGCUUGUGACAGGGUCUCAGAUUUUCUGCUGCACACACAGCAGAAUAGGUGGCUUGUAAACUUCUAAGGAUUCGCCUGUCUCUGUCUCUCUUGUCCCUUCACCCCCCUCCACCGGGUGUGCUGGAUUAUGCAUGGAAUCACAGCCAGUUUUCUGUGGGUGGCUGCUGGGGAUUUGAACUCAGUUCCUCAAGUUUGUGCAGCCAGCAGUUUCUCACUGAGCCAUCUCCUUGGCCCACUUUUCUUUCAUUUCAGAGACAGGACCUUUGCUGACAUCAGCAGCCUUUGCUGACAUCAACAGUCAUAGGUAGCAUGGAAUGGCCUUGUAUUUCUAAACUUUCUGUCUCUGCCACCGCUCCUGGUUUAUGUGGUCCUCUACCAACUGAGUCCCAUCCUAAGCCCCUAAUUAAAAAAGAUUUAUUCAUUGUUAUUUUAUGUGUAUGAGCGCUUUGUUUACACCUAAGUCUGUGCAUUCCUUGUGUGCCUAGUGCCCAAAGAGACCAGAGACCAGUGUCAGAUCCCCUGAAACUGGAGUUAGAAAUGGCUGUGAGCCACCAGGUGGAUUCUGGGAGCUAAACCUCAGUCUCUGCAACAGCAGCCAGUUUUCUUAACUACUGAGCCCCUCUACAGCUUCCUCUUAACCUGUCCUCUUAUAAAUGAGUUAUGAAGAGGUUUUGCAAAUAUUUUGGGGAGGACACUGAGACCCUCCACUGGGGAUGGGUUGCCACUCUGUGCUCUAGCUGAGUUCCUGCCAGUCUUGGGGAGAGGUAGGGAGUGGGAAGUGGGCACAGCCAGUGGCCGGAUGGAGCAGAAUCCAGACCUUGACAGUUCAGGGGAGGCCAGAGGGACCCAUUGUGCUCUGGCCAACUGCCUAGAACAUCCCGGAACUUGGAAAUGGGGGCCACGUCCUCCUGAGAGCACACUAG